rnacentral:tRNA from 1 species
GGCCCCGUAGCUCAAUGGUAGAGCAGGUGACUCUUAAUCACUUGGUUGGGGGUUCGAGUCCCUCCGGGGUCA